rnacentral:rRNA from 1 species
UACGUAGGGGGCAAGCGUUGUCCGGAUUUAUUGGGCGUAAAGCGCUCGCAGGUGGUCCGUCGCGUCGUGCGUGAAAGACCCCGGCUUAACUGGGGAGGGUCACGCGAUACUGUUCGACUCGAAGGCAGGAGAGGGAAGCGGAAUUCCCGGUGUAGUGGUGAAAUGCGUAGAUAUCGGGAGGAACACCAGUGGCGAAGGCGGCUUCCUGGCCUGUUCUUGACGCUGAGGCGCGAAAGCUAGGGUAGCAAACGGG